rnacentral:rRNA from 1 species
UAAUCCGACCUAGGCUCAUCCAUCGACGCGAGGUCUUGCGACCCCCGCUUUCCCCCGAAGGGCGUAUGCGGUAUUAGCCAAUCUCUCGACUGGUUAUUCCCCAUCAUUGGGCAGAUUCCGAAGCAUUGCUCACCCGUUCGCCGCUCGUCAGCAUGAAUUGCUACACCUGUUACCGCUCGACUUGCAUGUGUUAGGCACGCCGCCAGCGUUCAAUCUGAGCCAGGAUCAAACUCUA